rnacentral:rRNA from 1 species
GACGAACGCUGGCGGCGUGCUUAACACAUGCAAGUCGAACGAUGAAGCCUUAGCUUGCUUUGGUGGAUUAGUGGCGAACGGGUGAGUAACCCGUGAGCAACGUGCCCAGGACUCUGGAAUAACCUCGGGCAACCGUGGCUAAUACCGGAUAGGUGCCGAGGCCGCAUGGUCUUCGGUCGGAAGGUUUUGGCGGUUCUGGAUUGGCUCACGGCCUAUCAGCUUGUCGGUGGGGUGAUGGCCUACCAAGGCGACGACGGGUAGCCGGCCUGAGGGGGUGACCGGCCACACUGGGACGGAGACACGGCCCAGACUCCUACGGGAGGCAGCGGUGGGGAAGAGUGCACAAUGGGCGCAAGCCUGAUGCAGCAACGCCGCGUGGGGGAUGACGGCCUUCGGGUUGUAAACCUCUUUUAGUAGGGAAGAAGCGCAAGUGACGGUACCUGCAGAAAAAGCACCGGCUAACUACGUG